GAUGAAGAACGCAGCGAACUGCGAUAAGUAAUGUGAAUUGCAGAAUUCAGUGAAUCAUCGAAUCUUUGAACGCACAUUGCGCCCGCCAGUAUUCUGGCGGGCAUGCCUGUUCGAGCGUCAUUUCAACCCUCAAGCUCAGCUUGGUGUUGGGACUCGCGGUAACCCGCGUUCCCCAAAUCGAUUGGCGGUCACGUCGAGAUUCCAUAGCGUAGUAAUCAUACACCUCGUUACUGGUAAUCGUCGCGGCCACGCCGUAAAACCCCAACUUCUGAAUGUUGACCUCGGAUCAGGUAGGAAUACCCGCUGAACUUAAGCAUAUCAAUAAGCGGAGGA
rnacentral:misc_RNA from 1 species